UACAGAGGUCUCAAGCGUUGUUCGGAUUCAUUGGGCGUAAAGGGUGCGUAGGCGGCGCGGUAAGUCGGGUGUGAAAUCUCGGAGCUUAACUCCGAAACUGCAUUCGAUACUGCCGUGCUUGAGGACUGGAGAGGAGACUGGAAUUUACGGUGUAGCGGUGAAAUGCGUAGAUAUCGUAAGGAAGACCAGUGGCGAAGGCGGGGUCUCUGGACAGUUCCUGACGCUGAGGCACGAAGGCCCAGGGGGAGCAAAACGGGG
rnacentral:rRNA from 1 species